rnacentral:rRNA from 1 species
GACGAACGCUGGCGGCGUGCUUAACACAUGCAAGUCGAACGAAGAUUUGAGGGAGCUUGCUCCAUUAAAUCUUAGUGGCGAACGGGUGAGUAACGCGUAAUCAACCUGCCCUUUUGUGGGGGACAACAGAUGGAAACGUCUGCUAAUACCGCAUACGUUCCUAGAGCCGCAUGACUUUAGGAAGAAAGGUGGCCUCUAUAUAUAAGCUACCGUAAAAGGAGGGGAUUGCGUCUGAUUAGCUAGUUGGAGGGGUAACGGCCCACCAAGGCAAUGAUCAGUAGCCUGUCUGAGAGGAUGAACGGCCACAUUGGGACUGAGACACGGCCCAAACUCCUACGGGAGGCAGCAGUGGGGAAUCUUCCGCAAUGGACGAAAGUCUGACGGAGCAACGCCGCGUGAGUGAAGAAGGCCUUCGGGUUGUAAAGCUCUGUUAAUCGGGACGAAAGAGCAGUAUGCUAAUACCAUACUGAAGUGACGGUACCGGAAUAGAAAGCCACGGCUAACUACGUGCCAGCCGCCGCGGUAA